GUAGGUGGCAAGCGUUGUCCGGAGUUAUUGGGCGUAAAGCGCGCGCAGGCGGUUCUUUAAGUCUGAUGUGAAAGCCCACGGGCUCAACCGUGGAGGGUCAUUGGAAACUGGAGAACUUGAGUACAGAAGAGGAAAGCGGAAUUCCACGUGUAGCGGUGAAAUGCGUAGAGAUGUGGAGGAACACCAGUGGCGAAGGCGGCUUUCUGGUCUGUAACUGACGCUGAGGCGCGAAAGCGUGGGGAGCAAACAGGAUUAGAUACCCUGGUAGUCCACGCCGUAAACGAUGAGUGCUAAGUGUUAGGGGGUUUCCGCCCCUUAGUGCUGCAGCUAACGCAUUAAGCACUCCGCCUGGGGAGUACGACCGCAAAGGUUG
rnacentral:rRNA from 1 species